AUUGAACGCUGGCGGCAGGCCUAACACAUGCAAGUCGAGCGAGCGGCGGACGGGUGAGGAAUGUAUGGGGACUGCCCGAUAGAGGGGGAGAACGACUGGAAACGGUGUCUAAUACCGCAUACUGUCGGAUAACCCAUAUGGGAGUAGCUAGUAGGUAAGGUAAUGGCUUACCUAGGCGGCGAUCCCGAGCUGGUCUGAGAGGAUGAUCAGCCACACUGGGACUGAACCACGGCCCAGACGACUACGGAGGCCGCAGUGGGGGAUAUUGCGCAAUGGGCGCAAGCCUGAUGCAGCCGUGCCGCGUGUAUGAAGAAGGCCCUAGGGUUGUAAAGUACUUUCAGUCGGGGGGCGUUACCGACAGAAGAAGCACCGGCUAACUCCGUGCCAGCAGCCGCGGUAAUAC
rnacentral:rRNA from 1 species